AACGAACGCUGGCGGCGUGGAUAAGACAUGCAAGUCGGACGAGAUUUUUCGUUGUAGCAAUAUGAUGGGAAGUUAGUGGCGAACGGGUGCUUAACACGUGGGCAACCUGCCAGGAAGUGUGGGAUAGCUCGCCGAAAGGCGAAUUAAUACCGCAUGUGAUUAGAGAGGACAUCCUUUCGAAAUUAAAGUCGGGGCAACCUGACGCUUCUUGUGGGGCCCGCGGCCUAUCAGCUAGUUGGUGGGGUAACGGCUCACCGAGGCUUUGACGGGUAGCUGGUCUGAGAGGACGACCAGCCACACUGGGACUAAGACACGGCCCAGACACCUACGGGUGGCAGCAGUCGAGAAGUUUUGACAAUGGGGGAAACCCUGAUCGAGCGACGCCGCGUGGAGGAUGAAGGUCUUCGGAUUGUAAACUCCUGUCAUUGGGGAACAAUGCGUGACGGUUAACUGCCGUCGCGUUGAUAGUACCCGAAGAGGAAGAGACGGCUAACUCUGUGCCAGCAGCCGCGGUAAAAC
rnacentral:rRNA from 1 species